AACUACUUCCUCAUUCAAGAAUCAAAUGGGCACUCUUUUCACCUGUGGUGGUGGUGGGAUUGGAAAGAAGAGGUCCAAUCUCCCAUUCGGGGAUGAGCAGAAAAGGCCUGAAGCCAACCGUUACCAACCCUGUUGAACAACGUAGUGUCUCUGGACAAGUGUCAUGACUUGUUCUAGUGAAGCGGAUGGAAAUGCCAACACCAUUUCUUUGGCAAAUUUGGUGUUUUCCCGACAUGCUAUGAAGUCCUUAUCUUCAUCCAUAGAUUCCAUUGCUUUACCCUUUUCACUCCUCUGUUUCUGGGUUGGGUUGAUUCGUCCAAAGGGCUUUACUUUGCCGCUUUGGAUUGACUUGGAGAUUCUGAUACUAGGUCUGCAAUAAAUUGUCCAUUACAUCAUCUCUCACAGAAUGUUGUGUAUGCCCCAAGCACCUUCCUCCUAGGAUCUAGGAGAAAGUAUGAAUAAGAAAGAAAAAAGGAAACGGGUUUAAACCCCCUUAUCAUAAA